rnacentral:rRNA from 1 species
AUUGAACGCUGGCGGCAGGCCUAACACAUGCAAGUCGAACGAGUGGCGGACGGGUGAGUAAUGUCUGGGAAACUGCCUGAUGGAGGGGGAUAACUACUGGAAACGGUAGCUAAUACCGCAUACCAUCGGAUGUGCCCAGAUGGGAUUAGCUAGUAGGUGGGGUAAAGGCGCACCUAGGCGACGAUCCAUAGCUGGUCUGAUAGGAUGACCGGCCAAACUGGAACUGAGACACGGUCCAGACUCCUACGUGAGGCAGCAGUGGGGAAUAGUGCGCAAUGGGCGCAAGCCUGAUGCAGCCAUGCCGCGUGUAUGAAGAGGGCCUUCGGGUUGUAAAGUACUUUCAGCGGGGAGGCGUUACCCGCAGAAGAAGCACCGGCUAACUCCGUGCCAGCCGCCGCGGUAAUUC